rnacentral:snoRNA from 1 species
UUGUGAUGAGAAUCCAGCUGGCACCAGUCUGAGAAGACUUGUACUCUUUGUAUGCGGAUCAGCUUUAUACGGCAAUAAGCCUUCAGCCUGAU